AUUGAACGCUGGCGGCAGGCCUAACACAUGCAAGUCGAGCGAGCGGCGGACGGGGGAGUAAAGUGUGGGAAACUGCGUGAUGGAGGGGGAUAACUACUGGAGACGGUAGCUAAUACCGCAUACCAUCAGAUGUGCCCAGAUGGGAUUAGCUAGUAGGUGGGGUAACGGCGCACCUAGGGGACGAUCCCUAGCUGGUCUGAGAGGAUGACCAGCCACACUGGAACUGAGACACGGUCCAGACUCCUACGGGAGGCAGCAGUGGGGAAUAUUGCACAAUGGGCGCAAGCCUGAUGCAGCCAUGCCUCUUGUGUGAAGAAGGCCUUCGGGUUGUAAAGCACUUUCAGCGGGGAGGCGUUACCCGCAGAAGAAGCACCGGCUAACUCCGUGCCAGCAGCCGCGGUAAUUC
rnacentral:rRNA from 1 species